rnacentral:rRNA from 1 species
UGGGGAAUAUUGCACAAUGGGGGAAACCCUGAUGCAGCAACGCCGCGUGAGUGAUGACGGCCUUCGGGUUGUAAAGCUCUGUCUUCUGGGACGAUAAUGGCGGUACCAGAGGAGGAAGCCACGGCUAACUACGUGCCAGCAGCCGCGGUAAUACGUAGGUGGCAAGCGUUGUCCGGAUUUACUGGGCGUAAAGGAUGCGUAGGCGGAUACUUAAGUCAGAUGUGAAAAUCCCGGGCUUAACUUGGGAACUGCAUUUGAAACUGGGUAUCUGGAGUGCGGGAGAGGAAAGUGGAAUUCCUAGUGUAGCGGUGAAAUGCGUAGAGAUUAGGAAGAACACCAGUGGCGAAGGCGACUUUCUGGACCGUAACUGACGCUGAGGCAUGAAAGCGUGGGGAGCAAAC